GAGAAGAAGAUCGUGCUCAGCAGUGUGCACUAUCGUGUGAGACAGAGAGAAGAAAGAAGAGAGAGAAAAAGAAUAGAGAGACAGAAGAGAGAAAGAGAGAACAGAGAGAAAGAGAGAAGAGAGAGAAAAGAGAGUGAAUAGAGAUAAAAUGAGAAGAGAGAGAAAGAGACAAGAGAGAAAAAGAGAAAAGAGAAAAGAGAGAGAAAGAGAGAAAGAGGGAAGAGAGAAAGAGAUGAGAGGAGAAAGAGUCACCUUAAGCCCAAGGGUACCAACCAAAAAUCUUCUCUCUCCUCUCUCUCUCUCUCUCAAAUGUAACCCAAUAGUGAACAAAAAAUGGAAUUUUUUAAGCCAAAGUGGGGUCCUUUACAAUGAGAUACGUGCUUGUUUAUAUAGAGGUGGGACCCAAACAUAGGUGUACAAUUAAAUUUUAACCUAAUUAUUGAAAAUUAGGCAUUAAAAGAAGAAAAUCUCAGAAAAUGGGGUAAAAUCAUCAAUAAGAGUCAUUCUAAAUCAGUCCCUGUAAUGGUUGCUUAAUCGUGUGAACUUUUUAUGGCAGAUUCAGGGCUUUUUCGGUCACCAUCUGGCCGAAAGAUUGCUAUUUUCUUGAUGAGCUCGAGAAGACGAUCAUUUUGGUACUAAUUUUAGGCCAUGGAUCUGAGUUUUGAACCAUGAUUAUGACGUGGCAAAACAUGGAAAAACAUGCAAUCUUAAUUUUAAGAUUCAGUACAUUUCUCAGUGCUUUUCAUUGAUUUCUUGAUUACAAUAUGAUGAACAAGUUCCCAUGAUCGUUCUGCAAAAAGAACGACUCGAUUUGAUGCCCGGAUGACCAUUUUCCAAAUUGAAAAACUUUGACAGAAGUUUGGAUUUUGGUGACUGAAAUUGCAACAACUUUGGACUCAUUGUGCGUCGAAUCUGACCAUCCAUCACAUGCAAGGUUCAGCUCAGAUGAAGCCUCUGACCUUGUGCUCGUAAUGGGUCUGGUUUGAGGUCGUUCUAACGCACGAGCGUCGUGAUAUGGCCAUUUGAUAGAGGAGAGGUGUUGUUGAAAAUUUUCUACUACUUUUAGAAGUAUUUCGGUGAACUUCUCUCUUCGAUUUCUCGUAGCUUGGGCCGUGUUAUCAUGUGUGCAGUAUAUAAAAUCGACUGAGUCUUUAAGACGAACAUACUCGCAAAAUUUGGGCUCGAUCUGACCAGGAUGAAGAAGAUACGGCCAUAGAAAGUUUGCCCCCAAAAUUGUGAAGCAUAGUUUCCAUUAAUGGAGGUGGUUCACCAAGGGUUCACCAUAAUAGUGUACAGCCUACUCAUUUUGGAAAAGUUGGUCAUAACUUGCUCUAAAAUCUUCUAAAUGUGCAAAAAAUUAGUACCCAAGGAUUUUCGACCGAUCUGAAUCCAAUGGCAAUAGUAUGAAUACUAUUUGAUACUCCAAUACUGGUGUUGUAGUUCAAAUCCCAUUUUCAGCAUGAUAGAGAUAAGAUAUCCCAAAACUAUUUUGUCGUCUGUACUAUCUUAAACUUGUCGGAUUGUGAUAAAACUUGACAGGUGUUCUUAAGAGACCCUAGCCAUGCUCUUGCACAUUCUCGGGCCAUUUUGAGACUGAUGAAAAUUCUACUUUCGGAUCAGGGCUUAUUGUCCUACGACUUUCAUAGUCUACAGGCAUUUUGGUACCUGCGGACCUAGGUCACGAACUGCUCUCUCAUUAUUCGCAUCGCGGAUACAAGUGAUAGAAAAUGACCUCAAACAACUCGGAUAACCAUAGUAAUUCUAGAGCUAAUACAUGCAAGAAAUCUUGACCUCUGAAAGGGAUGCAUUUAUUAGAUAAAAGGCCAGCGCGGACUUUGCCCGAUGCUUUAGUGAAUCAUGAUAACUCGACAGAUCGCGCUGCCAUUAUGCUGGCGACGCAUCAUUCAAAUUUCUACCCUAUCAACUUUCGAUGAUAAGAUAGGGGCCUACCAUGGUGGUGACGGUUGACAGAGAAUUAGGGUUCGAUUCCGGAAUGGGAGCCUGAGAAACAACUACCACAUCCAAGGAAGGCAGUAGGAGGGCAAAUUAUCCAAUCUUGACACGGGGAGGUAGUGAAAAUAAAUAACAAUAUUGGGCUCAAAGAGUCUGGUAAUUGGAAUUAGUACAAUCUAAACCCCUUAACAAGGAUCCUUUAGAGGGCAAGUCUGGUGCUAGCAGCCACAGUAAUUCCUGCUCCAAUAGCAUAUAUUUAAGUUGUUGCAGUUAAAAAGCUUGUAAUUGGAUCUUGGGCGGGGCCGACAGGUCGGCCUUCAUGGUGUGCACUAGUUGUCCCGUCCCUUCUCCCGAUGAUGCGUUCCUGACCUUAACUGGUCGGGUCGUGCCUCCAGCACCGUUACUUUGAAGAAAUUAGAGUGCUCAAAGCAAGCCUACGCUCUGAGUACAUUAGCAUGGGAUAACAUCACAAGAUUUUGGUCCUAUUGUGAUGGCCUUCGGGAUUAGAGCAAUGAAUAAGAGGGACAGUCUGGGGCAUUCGUAUUUAAUAGUUAGAGGUGAUAUUCUUGGAUUUAUGAAAGACGAACCACUGCGAAAGCAUUUGUCAAGGAUGUUUUCAUUAAUCAAAAAUGAAAGUUGGGGCUCAAAGACGAUCAAAUACCUUCUUGGUCUCAACCAUAAAUGAUGCCCACUAGGGAUCGGCAGAUGUUGCUCUUAGGACUCCGUUGGCACCUUAUGAGAAAUCAAAGUCCUUGGGUUCCGAGGGGAGUAUUGUCGCAAGGCUGAAACUUAAAGGAAUUGACGGAAGGGCAUCACCAGGAGCAGAGCCUGCGAUUUAAUUUGACUCGAUACAGGAAAACUUAACAGGUCCAGACAUAGUAAGGAUUGACAGACUGAGAGCUCUUUUUUUAUUCUAUGGGUGGUGGUGCAUGGUCGUUCUUAGUUGGUGAAGCAAUUUGUCUGGUUAAUUUAGUUAACGAACGAGACCUCAGCCUACUAACUAGCUAUGGGAAGGUAACCGCCACGGUCAGCUUCUUAGAGGGACUGGUCGUUUAGGCCACAGAAGUUUGAGGCAAUAACACAUCUAUGAUGCCCUUAGAUGUUCUAGGCCGCACGCGUGCUACACUGAUGUAUUCAAUGAGUUUAUAGCCUUGGCUGACAGGCCCGGGUAAUCUGUCAAAAUUUCAUCGUGAUGGGGAUAGAUCAUUGCAAUUGUUGGUCUUCAACGAGGAAUUCCUAGUAAGCGUGAAUCAUCAGCUCGUGUUGACUACGUCCCUGCCAUUUUUGUACACAUCGCCCGUCUCUCCUACCGAUUGAAUGGUACAAUGAAGUGCUUGAAUCGCAGCGGUGGAGGUAGUCCGCCGUUGGCGACGUCAUGGGAAGUCCACUGAACCUUAUCAUUUAGAGGAAGGAGAAUUCGUAAAAAGGUUUUCAUAGGUGAACCUACGGAAUGAUCAUUG
rnacentral:rRNA from 1 species